rnacentral:rRNA from 1 species
ACGGGUGAGUAACACGUAUGCAACCUACCUACAUCAGGGGAAUAACCCGGAGAAAUUCGGACUAAUACCGCAUAAUACAGGGAUGCCGCAUGGCAAUAUUUGUUAAAGAUUUAUCGGAUGUAGAUGGGCAUGCGUUCCAUUAGCUAGUUGGUGAGGUAACGGCUCACCAAGGCAACGAUGGAUAGGGGAACUGAGAGGUUUGUCCCCCACACUGGAACUGAGACACGGACCAGACUCCUACGGGAGGCAGCAGUGAGGAAUAUUGGUCAAUGGACGAGAGUCUGAACCAGCCAAAUCGCGUGAAGGAAGACUGCCCUACGGGUUGUAAACUUCUUUUGUACAGGAAUAAAAGACAUUACGUGUAAUGUAUUGCAUGUACUGUACGAAUAAGCAUCGGCUAACUCCGUGCCAGCAGCCGCGGUAAUACGGAGGAUGCGAGCGUUAUCCGGAUUUAUUGGGUUUAAAGGGUGCGCAGGCGGGAUUUUAAGUCAGCGGUGAAAUUUUCAGGCUCAACCUGAACACUGCCGUUGAAACUGGGAUUCUUGAGUAUGGAUGAAGUAGGCGGAAUUCGUUGUGUAGCGGUGACAUGCUUAGAUAUAACGAGGAACUCCGAUUGCGUAGGCAGCUUACUAAGCCAUAACUGACGCUCAAGCACGAAAGCGUGGGGAUCAAACAGGAUUAGAUACCCUGGUAGUCCACGCCGUAAACGAUGAUUACUAGUUGUUUGCGAUAUACCGUAAGUGACUAAGCGAAAGCGAUAAGUAAUCCACCUGGGGAGUACGCCGGCAACGGUGAAACUCAAAUGAAUUGACGG